AGGGAGGUGCGGAAGAGUUGGGGAAGCAUCUUCCAGUGUCCGGCGGGAGAAGGAUGCAUUCAGCGGCGGUGUCGAAAGAUGUUUAAUAGUUGGCAGGAUCAAAGAUACCAAGUGUGACAGAUGACCCUUACAGGGUCAGUCUGAAUGCUGGCAAAUUCAGACUAUUAUGCUUUGGUGGAGGCUCUAAAACGAAAGCUUUUGAGAGAGCUGCAUGCACAACAAAGUGUACCACUCAUUAAACAAGAAAAGAUUUGAAAUGUGUGUCACUUCAAUCGUGGUAUUGUUGAAAACUCAAUGAACUAGUGAUGUCUAACUGAUGAUUCUUUGGGUGUGGAGUGAAAUGAAGACUGUUAGUUGUGGAAGAGGUAUUAUCUAUACAGCAGUGGAAGUCCUGGAGAAUGAAUGAACUCAGCAAGAAUAGGUGCCUGAGGUGCAGAAAAAAAAGUGAUGAAAGAUGCAAGGCCCCACCAGUGACAGAACUUUUCCAUACGGAAAUGAUACCCCAUUCCACUGCUUUCUAAGCUACAAGUCUAGGGCAACACAAAGACUGAAUGGAUUUGGUUUAUCAACCAGGAAUUCCUGCAACAUACACUAUUAUUUGAUAUGAACUUUUGCAUUUUAAUAUAUAGCAUGCUGGAACACCCAGAAGGAAGAAAAAAAAAAA